rnacentral:rRNA from 1 species
AUGGAAGGAACAGAUAAGAGCGAGAUGUGCUGCCCUCUCGCUCACCUUAUCGCUUUAUCUCCAACCUCUCUUCUCUCUCUCUUGCUCGCUUCCACUGUUCGCCGCCGACGAGUUUCUUCCCGUGCUCAGCCCCAAUAUACUCUGUUGUCGUGCUGCCGUUCGGCCCCACGGUCACCACCAACGUUUUUUUGUUGCAGCGCUCGGCCCCAACUUCCUCUUUUGCCAUGGUGUCGGGUCCGUAGCCAUGGCCGCGCUCCUCCCCUUCUUCAUCGUCGUGGCGCCGGGGAAGCUUCAACGGUGGACGGCGGGGACGCAUGGCCCCAAGAUGCUGCAACUAGCGCAAGAUUUUGGAACCGGCUCGGCCUCGAGCUGCAACCGGUUCGGUCAGAGCUGCAUCUGGCGUGGGGCGGUGCUGGAACGACGGUCACGUCGUGCUACAAUGGGCGGCGCAAGAUGCUGGAACCGGCUCGGCCGUGA